UACGAAGGGUGCAAGCGUUACUCGGAAUUACUGGGCGUAAAGCGUGCGUAGGCGGUUUGUUAAGUCCGUUGUGAAAGCCCUGGGCUCAACCUGGGAAUUGCAGUGGAUACUGGCGAGCUAGAGUGCGGUAGAGGAUGGUGGAAUUCCCGGUGUAGCGGUGAAAUGCGUAGAGAUCCGGAGGAACACCAGUGGCGCAGGCGGCUCUCUGGGUCGGCCCUGACGCUGAGGCGCGAAAGCGUGGGGAGCGAACGGG
rnacentral:rRNA from 1 species